CUUUCCCCCUAGUCUUUGGCUGACAUUCUAAACUUAGCUGUUAGACAAGAACAAUCUUGAAUUGCUCAAAAUACACAUGCAACACACUCACACUCACACUCCCACACACACACGCACACACACACACAUACAUACAUAUUUAUACACACACAAACUCACACUCACACACACAUUUUAAUGACUAAGACAGACUGUGGACCCUGGAAACAAAAGAGGGAAGGAAUUGAAAGAGGACGGUAAAAAGGAAAGAAUGAUGAAGAGUGAUGAAGUGUGUAGAGUCAUCUUGUGGGACUGAUCUCAGGCAAGAGGUUGUGAGAGCUGCUAAGAUGAACCAAGCUGUGUAAGAUGAGGACAAUGUUCUGUCUGGAGUCAGCCGAAUCAAUCCUCAUCACCAUUCAGCCCACCGAACCGGAUUGGUCUUCCUGGGAGUCCGACCCAGGCUCCGAGGCAGCCUCUGCCCUCCCCGACUCAGGAGAGACGUCUCCCCCCCUUUGGCAGAGAGCUUCAAACGGAGCAGCUGGGAGAGGUCUGUGGGGAGUCAGGAGGAUUGAGGGCUAUUUCUGAUCAACACAGCAUUACAUACACUGCUGGGCAAGGGAAGAGACCAAAAUACUCGGUGUGAUGCGGGAAAGCAUUUGAUUCUGUUUGGAUUAAAGAGGUACAUUCUCCACAA